rnacentral:misc_RNA from 1 species
AUGUUACACAAAUAGCAAAAUAUUUAGAAGAAACAAGAAACCAUUGAAUACAAAGCAAAAUCAUCCAAUAGACUUGGAUAGGAGUGAAACCCUAUAAUACGAGUGAUUUGUGAUAAGAUUAUCAAGAUAGCAUCUCAUUUUGUUGUUGCAAUCCUCAUCUCAUGUAACUAAUGGGCUAAUGUUUAUCAGAGCCUUGCAACUCUUUACAAUGGCCACUUCUCAAAGUUUAAUCCACGCCAACUAAAACUCACUAGAGAGCUACAAAAUACAAAAUGGAGCAUCCUUGUUUGUGCUAACAACAUAGCAAUAACAGGACUAAAAUUCCAGAAUACCAAUCAACUCUCAAGACAGCAAAAGAAAGCAACAGGAAGCAAGCAGAGAUCAAAACUCUGAUUCAUGUGGGCAAUUUCUAAGAAUUGAUUGAAUCCCCAAGAUUACAAAGCCAGCCAUAAGACCCCACUUUAACAUCAAAGUUUAAAUCUCAGCAGAAUAAAAGAGCAAAGUGUGGAAAUCAACAGUGUUCACCCAACCUUGUAUAUAUGUCUCUGAGUUUUACUCUUCACUUGCAGUUUAAUGCAUUCAGCUUCCAUUAAACAGGCAUUAUUUCUUUGGAGCCACAAGGAACAUGACAUUGCAAAAAAGGACAGCUAAAAUUCUUCUUGCAUUUUCCACUAACUAGAGCCAUCCAUUAAAGAAAUAUUGAUGCAAAAUCCUUCGGGAAGCGAAAAACAAUACCCCACCAUUGAAGGAAAAGUUUCAGAUGAUCCUGCUAAAUUGAAAGAGAAACUGUUGGGUGGAUUGAAACGGAUCACUACAAGGUGAUUGAAACCAUAAGCAGAAAAGGAGAAGGUUAUAAUAAAAGGAGAGGAAUCAACGGCUGGAGUGUUGCAAAAGGUCAUUAAUCCAUAAAGUAUCUUGCUACGGGUUCAUCUGAAUGAGAAAAAGACAUACCCAACUGCUUUCCCAUGUUGACAGCUUGCCAAGCUUCAUCUGCUAUGUCUAAGGAAUAUUCAUUGGAAUAUUUUUCUCUUGGGGCGAGAAUUCAUGCGAUGGAUGUCACUAUUUGCUGGCUUCACA